rnacentral:rRNA from 1 species
UAGGGAAUCUUCCGCAAUGGGCGAAAGCCUGAUGGAGCAACGCCGCGUGUGUGAUGAAGGCUUUAGGGUCGUAAAGCACUGUUGUAUGGGAAGAAAUGCUAGAAUAGGGAAUGAUUCUAGUUCGACGGUACCAUACCAGAAAGGGACGGCUAAAUACGUGCCAGCAGCCGCGGUAAUACGUAUGUCCCGAGCGUUAUCCGGAUUUAUUGGGCGUAAAGCGAGCGCAGACGGUUGAUUAAGUCUGAUGUGAAAGCCCGGAGCUCAACUCCGGAAUGGCAUUGGAAACUGGUUAACUUGAGUGUUGUAGAGGUAAGUGGAACUCCAUGUGUAGCGGUGGAAUGCGUAGAUAUAUGGAAGAACACCAGUGGCGAAGGCGGCUUACUGGACAACAACUGACGUUGAGGCUCGAAAGUGUGGGUAGCAAACAGGAUUAGAUACCCUGGUAGUCCACACCGUNNCGAUGAAUACUAGGUGUUAGGAGGUUUCCGCCUCUUAGUGCCGAAGCUAACGCAUUAAGUAUUCCGCCUGGGGAGUACNACCGCAAGGUU